GAAAAGAAAAAAAGAACAUGAAAAGCGGAAAAAAAAAAGAAAAAAAGGAAGAAGAGGAAAAAAGAGAUAAAAAAAGAAAAAAAAUAGAAAAAGAAUAAAAAGAAAAAAAGAGAAAUAAAAAAAAGGAAGGAAGGAAAAAAGAAAAAAAGGGGGUGCACGUGAAUAAAAUGAAAAGAAAAGAAUGGUGAUUAACUGGGAGAGGUGCUCCACGUGAU
rnacentral:lncRNA from 1 species